UGGGAUAUUGCCAAGCGGUAAGGCAGUGGGUUUUGAUCCCAUUAUUCGUAGGUUCGAUUCCUUCUAUCCCAG
rnacentral:tRNA from 1 species